CUAGCUUUUUAGUCUCAUUUCAGCAAUUGAUGAGCUAGGAAAAAUAUAUAAAUGGGGGUUGAUGGAGGCAUUGAGUAAUUAAGGAAGGAUCAAAUGAAGUGGAGGAGUUGAGCGGUGGUACAUUUGGGGCAAUGUUGUACUUGUUUAGGGACCAUGAAAUACAUUAGACAGACCUUGCAACCAGCAACCACAAGUACUUGAUCAUCAUCAUCAUCAUCAUCUUCUUCCGUCGUGUUUUGAUGGUAUAAUUGUUCUUUCAUUGAAGAUGAAGCUCC
rnacentral:lncRNA from 1 species